GUGCCCGGUAUUCACUGAGCGGAGAGCCAGAGCGUCUAAUACGAUGAACAAAAGGAUUCUGUUUUUCGGUGCUGCAUACCUGCUGGUAACUGAGAUGGUGGUGGUCCAUGGCGUCAUCCUUGGUGGCCCGCCAUUUUCGCAGCAUAACCCGUACAACCCUUUCUACCGCAACCCAGAGGGUCAGUACGUUGAACGGGGUGGCCAACAAGACGAUCAGCAGCAGGAAGGCAACCCUCAAGUUACGUAUCCUCAAACGACUUAUCCUCAGUUGGCGUAUUCUGCAGCGACUUAUCCUCGGGUGGCUUAUUCUCAAGCUAUUUACCCUCAAGUUUCGUAUCCUCAAGCUACUUAUCCGCAACUUUACUAUACAGGGUAAGCAGUAUUGGAACGCAUAUGCUGAAAUGUAAAUUCCAUUCAGUGGGGAUCUCCUGUUCCGCAUAAGUAUGAUACAAAUUUUUGUGCUGUAUUCAGAUGAGUGAAUAAAAAAAUUGAUAUAUUUUG